GUGAGGGUUGCUGGAGGUAUCAGAAGUGCGAAUGCUGACAUAAGUAACGAUAAAGCGGGUGAAAAGCCCGCUCGCCGGAAGACCAAGGGUUCCUGUCCAACGUUAAUCGGGGCAGGGUGAGUCGACCCCUAAGGCGAGGCCGAAAGGCGUAGUCGAUGGGAAACGGGUUAAUAUUCCCGUACUUGGUGUUACUGCGAAGGGGGGACGGAGAAGGCUAUGUUGGCCGGGCGACGGUUGUCCCGGUUUAAGCGUGUAGGCUGGUUUUCCAGGCAAAUCCGGAAAAUCAAGGCUGAGGCGUGAUGACGAGGCACUACGGUGCUGAAGCAACAAAUGCCCUGCUUCCAGGAAAAGCCUCUAAGCAUCAGGUAACAUCAAAUCGUACCCCAAACCGACACAGGUGGUCAGGUAGAGAAUACCAAGGCGCUUGAGAGAACUCGGGUGAAGGAACUAGGCAAAAUGGUGCCGUAACUUCGGGAGAAGGCACGCUGACACGUAGGUGAAGUGAUUUACUCACGGAGCUGAAGUCAGUCGAAGAUACCAGCUGGCUGCAACUGUUUAUUAAAAACACAGCACUGUGCAAACACGAAAGUGGACGUAUACGGUGUGACGCCUGCCCGGUGCCGGAAGGUUAAUUGAUGGGGUCAGCGCAAGCGAAGCUCCUGAUCGAAGCCCCGGUAAACGGCGGCCGUAACUAUAACGGUCCUAAGGUAGCGAAAUUCCUUGUCGGGUAAGUUCCGACCUGCACGAAUGGCGUAAUGAUGGCCAGGCUGUCUCCACCCGAGACUCAGUGAAAUUGAACUCGCUGUGAAGAUGCAGUGUACCCGCGGCAAGACGGAAAGACCCCGUGAACCUUUACUAUAGCUUGACACUGAACAUUGAGCCUUGAUGUGUAGGAUAGGUGGGAGGCUUUGAAGUGUGGACGCCAGUCUGCAUGGAGCCGACCUUGAAAUACCACCCUUUAAUGUUUGAUGUUCUAACGUGGACCCGUUACCCGGGUUGCGGACAGUGUCUGGUGGGUAGUUUGACUGGGGCGGUCUCCUCCUAAAGAGUAACGGAGGAGCACGAAGGUUGGCUAAUCCUGGUCGGACAUCAGGAGGUUAGUGCAAUGGCAUAAGCCAGCUUGACUGCGAGCGUGACGGCGCGAGCAGGUGCGAAAGCAGGUCAUAGUGAUCCGGUGGUUCUGAAUGGAAGGGCCAUCGCUCAACGGAUAAAAGGUACUCCGGGGAUAACAGGCUGAUACCGCCCAAGAGUUCAUAUCGACGGCGGUGUUUGGCACCUCGAUGUCGGCUCAUCACAUCCUGGGGCUGAAGUAGGUCCCAAGGGUAUGGCUGUUCGCCAUUUAAAGUGGUACGCGAGCUGGGUUUAGAACGUCGUGAGACAGUUCGGUCCCUAUCUGCCGUGGGCGCUGGAGAACUGAGGGGGGCUGCUCCUAGUACGAGAGGACCGGAGUGGACGCAUCACUGGUGUUCGGGUUGUCAUGCCAAUGGCACUGCCCGGUAGCUAAAUGCGGAAGAGAUAAGUGCUGAAAGCAUCUAAGCACGAAACUUGCCCCGAG
rnacentral:rRNA from 1 species